GCGUCGUUAGUGCAACGGUUCAGUACGCGUUCCCUGAAAGAGUGAGAUCUGGGUUCGAUCCCAGCUGACGCA